GAUAGUUGCUAAGAAUACAGGCUUAUUGUCAGACACUCCUGACUUAGAAUUAGUAUUUAAAGAUUUUUUUGUUUGUUUUAGAGAGCAAGUGUGCACAACUAUGAUGGGUAAAGGCAGCGGGAGAGAGAGCACAGAGCCCCACACAGGGCUAGAUCUCACAACAAUGAGAUCAUGAGCUGAGCCAAAACCAAGACCUGGAUGCUCAACCAACUGUGCCACCUAGGUACCACAGCCAUUCUUUAUCUAGAUGUCCUGUUUUGACACUCUUUAAUAGGGUGAUCUUGAAGAAGUAACUUUAAUCUCUUGAAUUUUCCGACUUGCCGCCUGUGAAAUGGGCAUCAUAGUAAUACUUACCUGUUAAAAUUUUGAGAAUUAAGUGAAAUAAUGGAUGUUAAGUGUGUGUACAUCUAAAUCAUGGUAGUGCCUAAAAGAUAGCAAACACUUAAUAUUAUAAUUACUAUAUUUAUUUAUAAAUAUUAUAAUUACUUUAUUUGUGGUAAUUAAUGAUAAUUAUAAUUUUAAAAUCAUAAUGUCUAUCUGGCAGACUAGUUAGUUGAUCCAGUUUGAGACUGGAAAGAUAGAUUGGAUGUGGAUCAGGAAAUUUAAAGAUUGAGAGGAGUGUGGUUCUCCCAACCUUAUGCCAUAGGAAUGAUAUUCAGUUUCUUUCUUAUUAAAAUUUUAAAUAUAAAAUAUAAAUAUAACAUAGAUUUUUGUCCAUUUUCCAGAAAAUGAAAAUAGAGCUACCUAAAUGAGAGAUGGUCCACCUGUGGAUUGAGAUCAUGGGAAUCACAGCCAUGUUAACACAUACUCCCUUAUUUGACUUUCUGUUUCUCCUCAACACCAGCUCCAGACUUUUUUUGGCACGUCUGGAAAGAAGAGAAGCAAAUGGAUCAGGCAAUAAUGCAGGAGAGAUCAAAGCAAUUCCUUCUGUCAACAGUAGCAAUUCAAGCAAAUCUCUAAAUACUGAAGGCUUUCCUUAGCUAAAGAGAAGUCUGGGAGAGAGGAUCAUUGUGGAAAUCACAUCACAGAGACUGGUAUCAGCUUCUGAAUUUUAUGUCAUAAGUAAAUUCUGGUUAAGGACAACCAACCUUGGCAUAGGAAGAGGGGAGGAAGGGAAGUGGAAUCAGGAUUUAUUGAACACUAACUAUGGUAUUUCACCUGCAUGAUGGCCAAGACUUCUACAGCGUGCUCCUCUAUGGCAGAGUGGUAAUUAGUGUGCUCUUGAGCUAAGUUGUCUUGCACCUAUACUCUGUCUCGGCCACGCACUUUGGUGCAGGUUAUUUAAGCUUCUUUUGCUAGCACUUUCAUCAUCAUGAAUAGUAAAAUCAGAUUAUUGUAAGUAUAAAAUAAGUGAAUUGACAUCAUGUAUUUACAACAGUACCUGACAUAUGGUAUCAAUGAAAUAUUAUCGCUCCACUUUGCUGGUGGGAAGACAGAGGACACUAAUCUCAAUUCAUUUGCUUAUUAAGUGGUGGAGCUUAGUUUCUAAGUAGUGGUGUGACACCCUGCUUAAGGAUUGUUCUACAUGUUUGCUUCUCAACUUGUGGUCUCUGAAUCAGUAGGACGAGCCUCACCUGGGAGCUAGUGAGCAAUGUAGACACUUGGGCCUGCUCAAGAGGUAGAGUCUGCAGUGAAGCAAGAUCUUCUGGCGAUUCCUAUGUACUUUAAAGUUGAGAAGGGCUACAGAACACACCACUGCCCAGUCAGACCUCUGCUAAGUGGAAGGACAGCAGAGAUUUAUUUGCAUAGAAUCUACUGCUUUAGAGACCCGAAGUAUCCCAGAGCAGGGCUGGUCUUCAACACUUUAGGUUCUAUCUUUCUUGUCAGGUGUACUGCCUAGAGGCUAACUCUCAGGGCUGACUCUUGCUUUCUCUAGAAUGAACGAAUCCCUGUGGUUCCUCAUUUCUCUCUCUCUCUCUCUCCAUCUCUCUUUCCACCUCUCUCCCCCCUCCACCUCUCCCAUUCACCCUAUUUUUCCCCUAGGUUUGGGGGCUGCCCAAGGGUAGUUGUGCCCUGUGGUUCUGAACAAAAUCCCACCGCAGCAUCCCUUGAUAAAGGCAGUGUUUAUGGAAACAGGGCAGAUUAUGGAAUUGGGUGACACUGAGUCCAAAUAUUAAUUCUUUCACUUUCAGUUUUCUCCAAACAAUUUCUUUAAUCUCCCUGAAACUUGGGUUCCUUGUCUUUAAAAAAUAGUGAUAUUAAUAGCUGUAUCCCAAGGUUGAGAAGAUCAAAUAAAAUCAAGGUAUGAUAAAGCA
rnacentral:lncRNA from 12 species